rnacentral:rRNA from 1 species
AUUACCUCAGUAACGGCGAGUGAAGCGGUAACAGCUCAAAUUUGAAAUCUGGGCCUUUCAGGCUCUGCGUUGUAAUUUGUAGAAGAUGCUUUGGGUGCGGCCCCGGUCUAAGUUCCUUGGAACAGGACGUCAUAGAGGGUGAGAAUCCCGUAUGUGAUCGGUGGCCUGCGCCCGUGUAAAGCUCUUUCGACGAGUCGGGUUGUUUGGGAAUGCAGCUCUAAAUGGGUGGUAAAUUUCAUCUAAAGCUAAAUAUUGGCCAGAGACCGAUAGCGCACAAGUAGAGUGAUCGAAAGAUGAAAAGCACUUUGGAAAGAGAGUUAAACAGUACGUGAAAUUGUUGAAAGGGAAGCGCUUGCAACCAGACUUGCGCGGGGUUGAUCAUCCGGGGUUCUCCCCGGUGCACUCGGCCCCGCUCAGGCCAGCAUCGGUUUCGGUGGUUGGAUAAAGGCCUUGGGAAUGUGACUUCCUUCGGGGAGUGUUAUAGCCCUCGGUGCAAUGCAGCCUACCGGGACCGAGGACCGCGCUUCGGCUAGGAUGCUGGCGUAAUGGUUGUAAGCGACCCGUCUUGAAACACGGACCAAGGAGUCUAACAUCUAUGCGAGUGUUUGGGUGUCAAACCCAUACGCGUAAUGAAAGUGAACGGAGGUGAGAACCCUUAAGGGUGCAUCAUCGACCGAUCCUGAUGUCUUCGGAUGGAUUUGAGUAAGAGCAUAGCUGUUGGGACCCGAAAGAUGGUGAACUAUGCCUGAAUAGGGUGAAGCCAGAGGAAACUCUGGUGGAGGCUCGCAGCGGUUCUGACGUGCAAAUCGAUCGUCAAAUUUGGGCAUAGGGGCGAAAGACUAAUCGAACCAUCCGUAUGGCACGGAGGAUAUCUCCUAUAAAUGCUCUCUUUGGACAAGAGCAGUUGCUAGGUGGUUAAGAGGCUACCCUAAUAGGUAGCCUAGUCCUAGGCCUAGGGCAACAUUGUCAAAUUGUUCGGGGGACGUUCCUUGUUAAUGCUAAGCUACCGCCAGUCUCUCGAAUGGAGGUGCGCACAGUGUAAUGGUCUUCGGGGAAUGGUAACCAAUCGCACUAGUUAGGAUCAGUCGCUCAGCUGAGCUCCUGUCGGGGA